GCUGGUAGCUAUUAUUACCCUGGAACUCACAGCUAGCAGCCCCACUGAAGCUCAGCAGGUGUGAGCCUGGUCAGUACCUGGAUGGGAGACCUCAUGGGAAAAACUUAAGGUUGCUGCUGGAA
rnacentral:rRNA from 1 species